GGAAGAAUCAAAAAAGUCAUGGCUGUUCGCCUGUGGGAGUAGCAAUCUGUGAGGAAUGGCCGGCUUGUUAAUAGUAUAUGAUGCCUGUAUACGUCAAAUCAAAAGAGAGGUGCGGCAUCUGCUUUUAAACAGUACGUCCGGCUUAGCAGACUACGGUAGGCUCUCUGGCACCAAGUGGUGUCUGAGUCCUGGCUAACUGAAGUUAACCAGGCACAUAUCCAAAAAAGACAGUAACGCCCUGGUCCCCCUGGGAGAUCGUAAACACAAAAUCACAAGCAGUCCUCUUGCACUCUGGUAGCUCCCAGGUGCUGUGGGGUUGACUGACCUACGCACACUGAGGAUUCUUGGCUCUCCCACUGUAGGCUUUGUGGAACAGCAGGCUGGUGCUGAGGACUGAUCUAGGUGUGAGGAUGAAGUGAGGAACAAAGCCAUCAAAGCCCACUGCUCCACCCCGGGCCGGAAUGGGAAAUGAGCAGAAAGGCAAGUCUUUCAGAGAGAAGUGACACAUGUGGGGUAUGAGGCAUGAGAGGAGCUUGAGAAGUGGAGGGAUGAGAAGUGGGGGUACCAUGGAGGGAUGAUGGCAUGAGACAUUCUGAGUCCACUUGCACUUGUAAAGGAAUCAUUUAAAAUCACCCCUUCCCCAUAUUUCUCUAAAAUGUAACACAAUUUUCUAACAAUAACAACACAAGGUUAGGCUUUUUAACCAAAAUUUAAAGCAUUUUAUCUUGCUCUGGGUGAACAAUGAACUACAGCCCUCAGGAAGGAAAAGAAAGUGACCUCAUCAAACCAUAGAAUCACAUUCUUGAGCAUCUCCUCACUGAUGCUAAAGAAGGGUGGCUAAAGUCAUGAUUCUUCUUGAUGAGUGAAAAGCACGAAACUUCCAGACAUGUCAGAGCCAACGCACUCACGGACUCACACGAGCUGCAGCUGUGAGCACACCAUCAAGCCCGCAGAAGUGAGGGAGGGGCUCACAUAACCGCCCCCCUCAGCUGAGGAGUUACUGGCAGUUGAUGGCUGCUGGGGGCCAUCGGUUUUCUUCACAAGUGUAGCUCCUGGGAGGAUGUCUGUGUUCCAAUAGAUGGCCCUCUACCCCUACACAUAUGGACACUGCUAGUUAGAAUUAGUGAGUUGUAAAUAAAUAAAUAAAUAAAUAAAUAAAUAAAUAAAUAAAUAAAAAAGACACUGAAGGGGGCAUAGUGAGGGUGUCUGAGUUCCAAGUGGGGAGUCAAAAUUCACUGCAUACAUGUAUGGGACUCUCAAAGAAAAAACAUACUCUAUUAAAGACUUUUAGGACUCUCUAAGGACAGCUCAUUCUGAGCCAUUAUUGAUGGAGGUGGGAGCUGAGACACCGAAGAGGGCUGCAGAUAGGGUAAAAGACACAACUCCGCUCCAAUAGCUUCCCUCUUUAUUAGAAUUCAGGAAGUGAAUCUGAAUGACAUUUAAUAAGCAGAACACAAAGGAAACACCUAACUUGCACAUGUAGCAUACAUAAGCACAUACAUUAUAUGGAUUUAAUAAUCCCCAGCUAAACAGGAACAGAACAACGGUUUUCACCCAAAAUAACUUCAGUGUUGGCAUUGCUGCCUCUAGCAUACAGUGUUGAAUGUUAUUAACAGGAAGAACUACAGACUCCCAGGAUCACUACAUGAUUUUGUAUCAUGGUAUAAAUAGCUUUUAAGAAAUCAUCUAUAUAAUAAAAUAAGUUCACUUUUGAAUUGCAGCAGUCAUUUUCUUCAAUCAAUAAAAAUAUUCCUUGAUUAUAAAGCAGCUUGAGUUUGCAAAUAUAUUUCAGGAAAAUAACUCUACUUGAAAUACCACACUUUUUAAAAAGGCAACAAAGUGACCAGAUUUAAUUUAAGAUAGUAUAUUGCAAAAUACAUCAGCAUAGUAUAUGUCUGAGCACAAAGCAAGUUAGUUCCAUUCGGAAGGAUACUUUUAACUUCAUAAAGCAAACCGUUCCAAUAUUUGUGUGGUAGUUUCAAGUCUAAAUAUAUACAAGAGUGGAUACAUUUUUACACAAAACAGGACAGAAACUUCAAUACAUAACUACAAGACAAAUGUGUAACAUUAUUACAUCACUGUCAUGAAGCUUAGUGUAACAUGUGCCCCUGACAGUGAACGGUCAGCCAUGGCUCUGCAGCUGUGUAGCCAACAGAACUCAGCAGCUACGGCUAAACCCUGACCCCACCCCAAGCCCAGACACCAUGGACACCCACACAGAUAACACACCCCCCCACACACACACUUUUAUUCAUUCUGUGAAAUACUUCUUUAAAGUUUUUUAUAUCCCAGGAGGAAAUGAAGGCAAAGUCUCAAAAAGUAAAAAGUGCAUCAUGUUUCAAAAGUGCUGUGCAUGUCGGGAGCUUACAAGGUUAAAUAAGUGUGCAAAAAAAAAAAAAAAA
rnacentral:sRNA from 1 species